rnacentral:lncRNA from 1 species
CAGCAAGCAGAGGGAAGUAAACCAGGAAAAGCCUCUUUUUGCCAUGUUGACGUUAACUUAGUCACCACUGACCAUUUUGGGGUUGACCAGCCUGGGUCCUGGCGCCAGGGACCUGAAGCAAGGAUCCUGACUGAUGCGUGUUUACUACGACCUGACUUAUUGAGGAGAACAAGGACUUCUCUGAAGGCCUGUCCCCUCAAAGCAGCAGGCAGGACAAGCUUGGCUAGAAAGAGAUACAUGGGACACACAGACAAUUAAAGACUAGAAUAGACACUGUGCUUCAAGUCCCAAGAUUUGUGAAGGAGGAUUUG